GAUGAACGCUGGCGGCGUGCCUUAUACAUGCAAGUUGAGCGGUAACAGUUCCUCACUUUUCUUUUGAAUCUUAAGUAUUCGAAGGCGAAGUGAGGAAGCUGACGAGCGGCGAACGGGUGAGUAAUACGUAGGAACCUGCCUCAAAGUGAGGGAUAACCUAUCGAAAGGUAGGCUAAUACCGCAUAUGGUCUUUAGAUUAAAGCCUUCGGGCGCUUUGAGAAGGGCCUGCGCAAGAUUAGUUUGUUGGUGAGGUAAUGGCUCACCAAGACGAUGAUCUUUAGCUGGUUUGAGAGGAUGAUCAGCCACACUGGAACUGAGAUACGGUCCAGACUCCUACGGGAGGCAGCAGUAGGGAAUAUUCCACAAUGGGCGAAAGCCUGAUGGAGCAACGCCGCGUGCAGGAUUAAGGCCUUCGGGUUGUAAACUGCUUUUAUAUGUGAAGAAUAUGACGGUAGCAUAUGAAUAAGCCUCGGCUAACUCCGUGCCAGCAGCCGCGGUCAUACGGAGGAGGCAAGCGUUAUCCGGAUUUACUGGGCGUAAAGAGUUGCGUAGGCGGUUUUGUAAGCAAAUAGUGAAAUCAUGUGGCUCAACCAUACUGACUAUUAUUUGAACUGCAGAACUUGAGAGCGAGAGGGGUGAUUGGAAUUCCCGGUGUAGGAGUGAAAUCCGUAGAUAUCGGGAGGAACACCAAUGGCGUAGGCAGAUCACUGGCUCGUUUCUGACGCUAAGGCACGAAAGCGUGGGUAGCAAACGGGAUUAGAUACCCCGGUAGUCCACGCCGUAAACUAUGGAUGCUAGCUGUUUGGAGUAUCGACCCUCUGAGUAGCGAAGCUAACGCGUUAAGCAUCCCGCCUGGGGAGUACGAUCGCAAGAUUAAAACUCAAAGGAAUUGACGGGGACCCGCACAAGCGGUGGAGCGUGUUCUUUAAUUCGAUGUUAAACGAAGAACCUUACCAGGACUUGACAUCCUUGGAAUUUUUAUGAAAGUAAAAAGUGCCUUUUGGAACCAAGUGACAGGUGUUGCAUGGCCGUCGUCAGCUCGUGUCGUGAGAUGUAGGGUUAAGUCCCUUAACGAGCGCAACCCUUGUGAUUAGUUGUAUUUUUCUAAUCAGACUGCCUCGGCAACGGGGAGGAAGGAGGGGAUGAUGUCAGGUCAGUAUUGCCCUUACGUCCUGGGCUAGAAACGCGCUACAAUGGCUAGUACAAAGGGCAGCCAACCCGCAAGGGGGAGCUAAUCCCAUCAAAGCUAGUCUCAGUUCGGAUUGCAGGCUGAAACUCGCCUGCAUGAAGCUGGAAUCGCUAGUAACCGUAAGUCAGCAAAUUACGGUGAAUACGUUCCCGGGUCUUGUACACACCGCCCGUCACACCACGAAAGUCGCCAACACCCGAAGUCUGAAUUUAUUUCAGCCGAAGGUGGGGGAGGUGAUUGGGGUG
rnacentral:rRNA from 1 species